UGUGCUAAUACCGCAUAAUCUCUCAGGAGAAAAGCAGGGGAUCGCAAGACCUUGCGCUUUAGGAGCGGCCGAUGCCUGAUUAGCUUGUUGGUAAGGUAAAAGCUUACCAAGGCUUCGAUCAGUAGCUGGUCUGAGAGGACGACCAGCCACACUGGGACUGAGACACGGCCCAGACUCCUACGGGAGGCAGCAGUGGGGAAUUUUGGACAAUGGGGGAAACCCUGAUCCAGCCAUGCCGCGUGAGUGAAGAAGGCCUUCGGGUUGUAAAGCUCUUUCAGCCGGAACGAAACGGU
rnacentral:rRNA from 1 species